GAGGGAGUGGGCUCAUCAUAUUUAAUCUUUUUACAUUGAUGUUUUUCUACAAUGACUGGCUGUGAUUUCUGGAACCACUACAGAUGGGUGAUCUGCAGAAAUGAAUCUCAUGUUUUC